ACGGAAGGCAGCAGUGGGGAAUAUUGCACAAUGGGGGAAACCCUGAUGCAGCAACGCCACGUGUGGGAAGACGCAUUUCGGUGUGUAAACCACUGUCGUGAGGGAAUAAGGCUGAGUUUCGGCUCAGUUGAAUGUACCUCGAAAGGAAGCACCGGCAAACUUCGUGCCAGCAGCCGCGGUAAUACGAGGGGUGCAAGCGUUGUUCGGAAUCACUGGGCGUAAAGGGAGCGCAGGCGGAAGUGCAAGCGGUCUGUACAAUCCCGGGGCCCAACCCCGGACCUGCAGGCCGGACUGCAUUUCUUGGAUAGUUCAGGGGCAAGCGGAAUUCCUGGUGUAGCGGUGGAAUGCGUAGAGAUCAGGAAGAACACCGAUGGCGAAGGCAGCUUGCUGGGGACUCAUCGACGCUGAGGCUCGAAAGUGCGGGUAGCAAACAGGAUUAGAUACCCUGGUA
rnacentral:rRNA from 1 species